rnacentral:rRNA from 1 species
CUCAAGCUGCAGCCGUAUGCACAAUCCUCUAUCGCCAAUCGCCCAUGCAAGAAACUCGCCUACAAGUUCUUCGGUCCAUUCUUGGUGACAGAACGCAUCGGCACGCUGGCAUAUCGACUGCAACUUCCCCCAAACAGCAGCAUCCACCUGGUAUUCCAUGUCUCUCAAUUGAAGCCGUUUACUCCUGACUAUACUCCGGUGUUCUCUGAACUGCCACGAGUACCGGACCUCGCCGGAGAGCAAACCGAACCAGUGGCAAUCCUACAGCGGCGUAUGAUGAAGAAAGGAGAUGCUCCAGUGGUGCAGCUGCAAGUUCAGUGGGCAAACAUGCCAUCAUCGGCUACAAACUGGGAAGACUACGACGUCCUUCGUCAUCGGUACCCAUCAGGAAGCAUCUGGGAAGAGUCUGCAUCGCAAGAGGGAGGCAAUGUCACGCCUGCAGAUGCUGCUACUGCACCUGCAGCGGACUAA